rnacentral:rRNA from 1 species
UACGAAGGGGCUAGCGUUGUUCGGAAUCACUGUGCGUAAAGCGCACGUAGGCGGAUUUGCCAGUCAGGGGUGAAAUCCCGGGGCUCAACCUCGGAACUGCCUUUGAUACAGCAAGUCUAGAGUCCGGAAGAGGUGAGUGGAAUUCCUAGUGUAGAGGUGAAAUUCGUAGAUAUUAGGAGGAACACCAGUGGCGAAGGCGGCUCACUGGUCCGGCACUGACGCUGAGGUGCGAAAGCGUGGGGAGCAAACAGGAUUAGAUACCCGGGUAGUCCCU